rnacentral:rRNA from 1 species
UGGGGAAUAUUGGACAAUGGGCGAAAGCCUGAUCCAGCAAUGCCGCGUGUGUGAAGAAGGUCUUCGGAUUGUAAAGCACUUUCGACGGGGACGAUGAUGACGGUACCCGUAGAAGAAGCCCCGGCUAACUUCGUGCCAGCAGCCGCGGUAAUACGAAGGGGGCUAGCGUUGCUCGGAAUGACUGGGCGUAAAGGGCGCGUAGGCGGUUGUUACAGUCAGAUGUGAAAUCCCCGGGCUUAACCUGGGAACUGCAUUUGAUACGUGACGACUAGAGUUCGAGAGAGGGUUGUGGAAUUCCCAGUGUAGAGGUGAAAUUCGUAGAUAUUGGGAAGAACACCGGUGGCGAAGGCGGCAACCUGGCUCGAUACUGACGCUGAGGCGCGAAAGCGUGGGGAGCAAACAGG